UACGAAGGGGGCUAGCGUUGCUCGGAAUUACUGGGCGUAAAGGGAGCGUAGGCGGACAUUUAAGUCAGAGGUGAAAUCCCGGAGCUUAACUUCGGAACUGCCUUUGAUACUGGGUGUCUUGAGUGUGAGAGAGGUAUGUGGAACUCCGAGUGUAGAGGUGAAAUUCGUAGAUAUUCGGAAGAACACCAGUGGCGAAGGCGACAUACUGGCUCAUUACUGACGCUGGAGGCUCGAAA
rnacentral:rRNA from 1 species